CUUGCUAAGACUGAUGGCGACCGGCGCACGGGUGCGUAACGCGUAUGCAACUUGCCUCACAGAGGGGGAUAACCCGUCGAAAGACGGACUAAUACCGCGUACACUUGGGAUAGGGCAUCCUGACCCAAGGAAAUGAAAUUCGCUGUGAGAUAGGCAUGCGUCCCAUUAGCUAGUUGGUGAGGUAACGGCUCACCAAGGCGACGAUGGGUAGGGGAACUGAGAGGUUGAACCCCCACACUGGUACUGAGACACGGACCAGACUCCUACGGGAGGCAGCAGUGAGGAAUAUUGGUCAAUGGGCGAGAGCCUGAACCGGCCAAGUCGCGUGAAGGAUGACUGUCUUAUGGAUUGUAAACUUCUUUUAUACAGGAAUAACAAGAGUCACGUGUGGCUCCCUGCAUGUACCGUAUGAAUAAGCAUCGGCUAACUCCGUGCCAGCAGCCGCGGUAAUACGGAGGAUGCGAGCGUUAUCCGGAUUUAUUGGGUUUAAAGGGUGCGUAGGCGGCCUGUUAAGUCAGCGGUGAAAUCUAGGAGCUUAACUCCUAAAUUGCCAUUGAUACUGGCGGGCUUGAGUGUAGAUGAGGUAGGCGGAAUGCGUGGUGUAGCGGUGGAAUGCAUAGAUAUCACGCAGAACUCCGAUUGCGAAGGCAGCUUACUAAGGUACAACUGACGCUGAAGCACGAAAGCGUGGGUAUCAAACAGGAUUAGAUACCCUGGUAGUCCACGCAGUAAACGAUGAUAACUGGG
rnacentral:rRNA from 1 species